AUUAAGCUGAGCAAAGACAGCCCAUAGAUAGAUGCCAAAUAAUAAUAGGAUGAGUUAUUACUAAACAACAUGCAUUGAAGAGUUAAAUCUCUGCCAUCACAAUGCAUUGUGUGGAUUAACCCCCUUUGUCCUCAGUGAACUCCUUCUAAUUCAGAUUUUUACAACCUUUUAUUAAAAUUCCUUACAAAUCGGUUAAAUCACUUGGACGGUUAAUUCACUUGAUGGAGGUCAUACAACUGAUCAACUGGACUUGGAGGACUUGGAUCUUCCAGGCUCCCACGUGGAACUGCAAUGUGGAAAAGUCCCACGUGUUGCUUUGCGUGGCUUCAGUGGCUGCCUGGUGGAUGGGAUUCUGCUGCGGCUCAAGCCUGUUUCCAGCUGUUCCCAACUUCAAAAGGAUUAAAGUAUUGUGGCUUACUUCAGGACCCAGGGAGUAGGAGGGAUUUAUGACUGAUCCCGGGCUUAAGAGCCAGAGAAGAAAAGAAAUCAUGAUCCCAAGGAACAGGUGGAGCUACUUACCAAUCCUGGCUUUCCUCUUCCAUGUGGGUGUUCACUGCAAAGCUCUGGCUUCCCAAUUCCUUUCCAGAAAGAUUCACCACACUCACAGAGGAACUUACAAUGUCCCUGCUAUUUUCUUCCUAUGACCUGCCUGGGAUGGGAAGCACAGGUGUGUCGCCAUCACGAACAACUAUUGAUGUGAGCAGGAAGGAGGAUGUGGUAUUUACUCUGUUGAUUUCAUGCAGCCAUUGAGAGCCGAAGAUCAUUUUCAUGACUCUCGCUUGUUCUGAGCAAACAUCCUUACACACUCUGGCCGAGGAGACCCAAAUUAAAUUCCAACAUGGCUUGUGGAAACUUUGAAAGGCUGAAGUCAUGUAACUGUAGACAUAAGACAAGGUCUCUGGGGACAGCAAUGACGACACUUGGGUCAAGCUGGUUCCAUUUCUGUGAGCUGAGGUAACUGGCAAGGGCUAGAAAUUUCCUGGGAGACCAGACUUAAUUCCUCGCAUCAGGACUACGUUUCUAGACACAUCCGUGAACUGGAAAGAACAUCUUUAAGUUUGUUCAAACUUUCAGACUUAAAAAAAAGAACAUAAAUUUCCCAGAAGGUCUCAUGGAGAAGUUGGGGGGAGGGAGGUAUUGCAAUUUCACAGGUCACUGUGUGUCUUCUGUAGAGGUGACCUUUAUUUCAGAUCCACAUGGUUGUGGAUUUGAAGAAGGCUGAUUGUCAGUUCUAACAAAGCACAUCUUUAAAUCUACUCACUACCUUACGUAUGUAACUGUAAUCCCUCUGUACAUCACCUAACAAUAAAAUUAAAUUUGAAAAAAAAAAUUUACCUUUAGCCUGAAAAAAAUUCUACAGACAAGAAAUAGAUACUGAGCUCUUAGGGAAAGCUCCUUGAUUACUCCAUAGAGAAAGAUAGGCGUGUGAGGACCCUUUUUCCCAGCCAACUAUGAAGAAUUUGGUGAGUUCAUCAGGGAAGUCUGCAAGAUCAUUCUCCUGAAGGUAGUCCAAGAGUGGGAACAAAUUUGCAUCUAAAGGCCUUAUCUAAGGAAUUCCCAUAGGUCCAACUCCGUUGGCAGUUCUACAUUUUUCAUUUUGGAGCAGACAGAUGAUUCUGUCAGAAAUGAACCCUGUGGCUUUCAAGGAGAAGUGAACAAAAUUUUUAGUAGAAGUUCAGUCAUCACCUUGCUCCUUAGUAAGCAAGAAGAGGGAAAAGGUGUUAGUGGCAUACAACCAACUAUAAUAGCCUCAGCUAUGUGAAGCUCUUUGUACGUCUUGGAAUUUUUGAAUUUUGAAGUUGUCUAUGCCAAGAUACACUUGAGCAAUACAACCUGAGAAAACAAAGUUUUAAAUAAAGAAUUCGGACAUCUUUUUCUAAUGACACACGCAAUUUUGUAAUAUACCAAGCUUACGUCUUUCCUUCCAACUUGGGGAUAAUGCAACAUCAUACAUUGAUGGCACCAAACCAGGAAAGCAAAACAAAACAGAACGUUGAGCUUGGCCUUACCCCCAGUUCUCUGUGGCAGCUGAUUCAAGGAGCCAAGGCAGGGACAGAAAAUUAAUACAUCACCCUCUUAAGCUGAGAGGUUUGGGGGAGCAGUUCUCAUUCCCUUGCUUUUAAAGUGAAAAUACAUGCAAGAACUUAGGCUGGGAAUAGGCAAUUGUGUUAUGAAGCCACUCUGGACCGAAAUGAAAGGGGAACCCAAGUCGUCUUUCUAUACAUUGAUCAUGGUAGGAGUCUAUUUUGAUUAGAAGAGCCAAACUCCGCAUAAAUAUUAUUUUCUACAGUUUCAAUAUUCUAAUUAAAUACCUGAAUUUAUUUCUUGGAAGAAAAAAAGCAGAACAUUUAGUUCAGUCAUAGCAGUAACCAUGUCUUUGGUUUGUAUUAAAGGCUGUUAGUUUCCCAAGUUCUGCUCAAAAUUCACAACACGGGAAUUUACCGUAUCUUCAUAAAAGCAAUUGAAAUUACAGUGUUUUUAUGAACUCCCAGGGUGUACUUCUAUUAACAAAAGAUGUUUUGCUUUACUCACACCUGCUCAGUUCUCCAUGGGGGCCCAAGCGAUACACAUUCCAAUAGAGCAGCGCCAAUAAAAUCAAAUAAAAAUGAACUUCCAAGGAAGAGAAUGGAGAUUUGCAAUAUUACCAUAGAAAGUGCAUUUGAGAAGGAGCUGAGCUCUUGGAACUGCCUUUUAAAGUAGAAUUCUUUUAACAAAAAAUAGACUUGCAACAAUAAAUCAUGUAUUUUUGACUAUUGAAUACUCAGACAACAUU